UAGGGAAUCUUCCGCAAUGGACGCAAGUCUGACGGAGCAACGCCGCGUGAGUGAAGAAGGAUUUCGGUUCGUAAAACUCUGUUGUUAGAGAAGAACAGCGCAUAGAGUAACUGUUAUGCGUGUGACGGUAUCUAACCAGAAAGCCACGGCUAACUACGUGCCAGCAGCCGCGGUAGUACGUAGGUGGCAAGCGUUGUCCGGAGUUAUUGGGCGUAAAGCGAGCGCAGGCGGUCAAUUAAGUCUGAUGUGAAAGCCCCCGGCUCAGCCGGGGAGGGUCAUUGGAAACUGGUUGACUUGAGUGCAGAAGAGGAGAGUGGAAUUCCAUGUGUAGCGGUGAAAUGCGUAGAUAUAUGGAGGAACACCAGUGGCGAAGGCGACUCUCUGGUCUGUAACUGACGCUGAGGCUCGAAAGCGUGGGUAGCAAACAGG
rnacentral:rRNA from 1 species